GAUGAACGCUGGCGGCGUGCUUAACACAUGCAAGUCGAACGGUGAACGAGGGAGCUUGCUCCCUCCGGAUCAGUGGCGAACGGGUGAGUAACACGUGAGCAAUCUGGCCUGGACUCUGGGAUAAGCGUUGGAAACGACGUCUAAUACCGGAUACGAGGCGUGGGGGCAUCCCCAACGCCUGGAAAGAACUUCGGUCCAGGAUGAGCUCGCGGCUUAUCAGGUAGUUGGUGAGGUAACGGCUCACCAAGCCUACGACGGGUAGCCGGCCUGAGAGGGUGACCGGCCACACUGGGACUGAGACACGGCCCAGACUCCUACGGGAGGCAGCAGUGGGGAAUAUUGCACAAUGGGCGCAAGCCUGAUGCAGCAACGCCGCGUGAGGGACGACGGCCUUCGGGUUGUAAACCUCUUUUAGCAGGGAAGAAGCGAAAGUGACGGUACCUGCAGAAAAAGCACCGGCUAACUACGUGCCAGCAGCCGCCGCCGUAA
rnacentral:rRNA from 1 species